GACUCUCUGCCCUGCAGGUGAGGUCAGAACGUCCACUCGGAAUAGCAGUAAUUCGGGGCACACUUUAGAAACCUGGUGAGCCAGCCCACCUCCAGAGUGGGACGCCUGAAAGGUUUACAGCAUGCCCCACCUCAUUGGCACUCGAUGUGAGUCCAAUGACCCACGGUAGCGGUGGAGAGUCG
rnacentral:other from 1 species